rnacentral:rRNA from 1 species
GAUGAACGCUGGCGGCGUGCCUAAUACAUGCAAGUCGAGCGAAUGGAUUAAGAGCUUGCUCUUAUGAAGUUAGCGGUGGACGGGUGAGUAACACGUGGGUAACCUGCCCAUAAGACUGGGAUAACUCCGGGAAACCGGGGCUAAUACCGGAUAACAUUUUGAACCGCAUGGUUCGAAAUUGAAAGGCGGCUUCGGCUGUCACUUAUGGAUGGACCCGCGUCGCAUUAGCUAGUUGGGGAGGUAACGGCUCACCAAGGCAACGAUGCGUAGCCGACCUGAGAGGGUGAUCGGCCACACUGGGAAUGAGACACGGCCCAGACUCCUACGGGGGGCAGCAGUAGGGAAUCUUCCGCAAUGGACGAAAGUCUGACGGAGCAACGCCGCGUGAGUGAUGAAGGCUUUCGGGUCGUAAAACUCUGUUGUUAGGGAAGAACAAGUGCUAGUUGAAUAAGCUGGCACCUUGACGGUACCUAACCAGAAAGCCACGGCUAACUACGUGCCAGCCGCCGCGGUAA